ACAUGAGGUCCGGGGUUGUCUGGUGGAUUUGUUGCAUCAUAGUUUUGACACUCAAGCAUCAGCUGCUACUUAACGCAGAGGGAUGUCUUUUGGCCUUCCGUUCUGUCGGGGAUUGAUGUAUUGCCCUGGCUGAGAUGACAGACUCUCCUCAAGCCUUUGGGUAGGCUGACUGAGGAUGCAUGAUGCUCUCUUACAGCAGUGCCGUCUGAAUAACCCCACCCUGGGAAUGAGUCUGCAGACGGUGAGAUCGGCAGCUAUGAAGACACUGGCAGUGCCUUAACAGAUCCCAGGACUUGGGGCCCAUCCGUGCACUAGAACAGUGCCUUAACAGGAUGAGCCGCCCAGCAACCCCAUCAUGCUCUUUCACUUCUCUUCUGCUACCCCCUUUUGGGUGGUUUUAAUUCAGGCGCAGGAACUAUUUUUCACGUCCAAACACAGGCGCGUCACGUGGGUAGCAGCCUCUCCAUUUCCCGUCCCGCUUGACAUUGCGAGCCGUGGAUUCGUUUCCACCCCCCCCCCCCUCAUCUGUUCAUCAGAGAGAGAGA